rnacentral:rRNA from 1 species
CCGGGAAGUGGGGGACAACGUUUCGAAAGGAACGCUAAUACCGCAUACCUCCUACGGGAGAAAGCAGGGGACCUUCGGGCCUUGCGCUAUCAGAUGAGCCUAGGUCGGAUUAGCUAGUUGGUGGGGUAAAGGCCUACCAAGGCGACGAUCCGUAACUGGUCUGAGAGGAUGAUCAGUCACACUGGAACUGAGACACGGUCCAGACUCCUACGGGAGGCAGCAGUGGGGAAUAUUGGACAAUGGGCGAAAGCCUGAUCCAGCCAUGCCGCGUGUGUGAAGAAGGUCUUCGGAUUGUAAAGCACUUUAAGUUGGGAGGAAGG